AAUUCACGAGGGUCUUAUACGGCUCUUCUCUUUAUUGAAAAUAAUAGCGCCUACGAUUUUCUUCUAUAAAUUUGUUCAGUCUUAUUUGAUUUUUUACGGCCAGUUUCAACUUCACUACCUUUAAGUUUUGAAAAGGAAAAAUGAUUGCUGACAUAAGCUAGACACCUAUGACUAAUGUUUCUGGAUCGUUUACUUUUUAGGUGUACAUAUCUCGACAGUAAAUUGAAAUUUUAACAUAAUCAAUUUCACCGGUAUGAACUUUUGAAGUAAUAUGUGUAAUAAUAACAAUAAUAAUAACUGGGCGCAAAUUAUGCACGGUCACCCGACCCCCAGUUAGGAUUUCCUAUGUUAUGGAUACCAAAGACUGACAUAACCCAAAACAAACAACACAAGGACAUGGCUCGUGAAAGUGCUGAUUUCACCUAAAAUACGACGUUAUAAAAGCAACACCAUGAAGUUAACUAUGGUUAUACUAAAACUGAGGAAGAUUUUAGCCAGCGGGCUUGUGAUAAAACUUGAACAACAUACUAAAAUGUAAUCACGGGUGGUAUCGCCAAGCGAAUCCCGGCGAUAUGGUUAACGAACUGUGGAAUUUGCCUCAGAAGAACGAUGAUAUGACAUUUUGCUAAAUUGAGCAAUACAGUAAGUUUUUUUUUUUUUCUACCUAUGCUGAUAGCCUUGAGAGGCUAUUUCAGCUUCACCCUAACGUUUGUAGGUGAGCUCGCGGGGCUCAACCGGAGAGUUGCUAACACUGACCCUAGCAAGAGCAGUGCUUCGCAGAAUCUACCACCGGAUCGGAAACGCGACCCACUGAGAAGAUCCGGCGAGAAACUCAAUGGGCUGUGUCUAUGGGUUAGUUCGCUCGUCGAGCCCAAGGGGAGGAGCCCGAGGGAAGGGAGCCCUUCGUCGCAAGCGACGGGUUCGACGAGGACGGUGACCGGAUAAGAAACUGUAGUUAACAAAAUUUUCACAAACCCUACACUAAAAGAUUCCGCCUCCACCACCCGCCUUCGUAAGAUCCUGAAGUUUUUAGAUCACAUCACCCAAGUGGAUAGAACUCAGAAAGUACGUAUUACUGGGAAGAUUGAUACUAAAAGAGGUUGUACUACAAUCAGAUGCUCCGAAAUUCGCUCAAUUAUCAAGAUCUGGUACUGGUGGUAGGAUUUCGUGUGAGUCCGCACCACCACCCUGCCUAUUUCUGCCGUGAAGCAGUAAUUCGUUUCGGUUCGAAGGGCGGGGCAGCCGUUGUACUGUUAAAAGUGAGACCUUACAACUCAUGUAUCAGGGUGGGUGGCGGCUUUUACAUUGUAGAUGCCUAUGGGCUCCGGUAGCCACUUAACACCAGGUGGGCCGUGAAUCAUCCACCGUCUAAGAAAAGAAAAAAAACAAACUACCUGAUGCUCUCGAUGACGCCAAGGGUAGAAACAGACGAAGAAGCACCGUCAAAGAGAAAUUAAUCUGUCGUCGAGGGAAUCACGUGCCUCAGUAAUGAAAAAGACGACGCGAGAAGGAUACUGAAAUUAUAAAUUUUUAAAACGACGAGUGCAUUAACUUAAGCAGAUUUCAACGUCAAAACAUUUCAAAGUUCAUGGGAUUUAAGAGAAUUUACAGAGUGCUUGCUGCCUGUGAUAAUUAAAAUAAAUUUUGAAGUAA